rnacentral:lncRNA from 1 species
UACAAAAUUUCGCAAUCCAAUUAUUUAUCAGCAUUAUUACCGUGACAUUGCACAAGGGAGCUCAAACAUAGAGAGAGAGAGAGAGAGAGAGAGAGAGAGAGAGACUCGCGUGAGAAAAGUAUACAUCUGCCUAAAGUGUACUCAAAUACAAAAACGUGUCGAUUAAUCGGAGAAAACCGUCAUCGUCUUCGAGAUCCCUACAUCAAACAGCAGAUGUAAUAAAUGCAUAAAUAAAUUGCAUAACAGAUUAAUUCUUGGAAGAUUGAAUAAUAUCUCGGCGUAACAAAUAGUUGAAAUCAAUCUCGAUAGUUUCGGCCGUUAUCGAAGGCUUGUAAUCUGGUUUCAUCUCGAGGCAGCCUGAAUCGAAGACUGAAUCGGAGGUUUCAUGCGGCGCAAGUAAAUCGAAGAGAUGGAGUGAUUGGUAAAUUUGACCCGACUUCCCUCUCCAUCUCUCUCUCUGUCUCUUUAGAUAACUCGGCCACGUGUAGUCUGUAUAUCACAGUGUCCUGGGGACGAAAUGCGCCAAACAUUAUUUAUCGAGCCCGGAACCAGGAAUACACACCCCGGCGACGAGAUAACAAAGAUAGUCCACUGAUGACCGGCCGCUCCUUCGCGGGAAGGAAAUACGACGUUUUGCGCAAGAACGUCGAUUGAUGCGCGACGCAAAAGCCUCGGAAAUUCGCGCAAGCCACGCGAUGACGGCGGAAAUUUCCCCGCGUCGGCGUCGGCGGAUUAUCAUUUUCCGCGAGGUUGAUAGGGCAAUUAUAACGCCGCUUUGCAAAAUCAUUUCCGGCCAAUUGAGACGGCCGGUAGACGCGGCAUGAGAAUCACUGCAGGGCCGCUUCGACAAGCGCAGCUGUAAAUCGAAGAAGCCGUCUGGCUUCUAAUUUUAUUGCGCGACAGAAUGGGAAUGAAUCUCGGCGCUGCAGCCGAGUGCAUUGGAUUUUGCCUCUCUUGUAAAGGGCGAUAUUAAAAUCUCCAAUCUGCGGAUCGUGAUUCGCCUGUCUGUGCAGCUUCCCGGGACUCGGUACAUUGCUCUGACAUAAAAGAAAUUCAUUGCGUUUCAGACGGGACACAGACCUAUGCAGUAUUAAUAGGCUACAUCCGAAGAAACGUUUUCUUUCUAAUAAUUUUUAAAUAAUAUCUGAAAUUUAUGAAUGACAGAUUGUACGUCUGGAUCGAUGAAAGAAGUAAACGCUCUUUGCCGCGGAAAAAAAAUUCAUUGCGUUUCAGAUGUGAUGGGACACAGACCUAUGUAGCAUUAAUAGACUACAUCCGAAGAAACGUUUUCUUUCUAAUAAUUUUUAAAUAUCUGAAAUUUAUGAAUGACCGAUUAUACGUCUGGAUCGAUGAAAGAAGUAAACGCUCUUUGCCACGUGAUAUUUAGAAACACCGAUUAAAUAUACAUAAACAAGCGCGAUAAAAACCAUGAAAGUAACAUUUCCUGUCCUCGAUCCGACCAAAGUCCGAGAUGUAUUUCAAUGGAAAGGACGCGUAUAUCGUUUUCUCGGUUUUGUUGCACGAUCGAACGUAAUAUAAUCAAUUACUUUAGUUAGAUCUCUUCUAUUCUCGUCUUAAAAGCUUCGUUGCCCUAUUUGUAUCUCUUGGCCUUUGAUAACGAUCUCUCGCCGGAGAAUGAAAGAUUGUCGAUAAAUGAGAAUAAAAGGCAAAUGUGCGGACAAUCGCCCUUGUUCGAUUCUCGCUUACGCGAGAAUCAGACGCGGCGUAAAUUUUCGCCGACGAGGCGAAUCGAUUCGACACUUUGAAUUCGCGAUGCAACGCAUCCGGUGUCACGCGAUCCAGAUCGACGUGAUUAUUACGUAACAUAUUUGCCUUUCUUCCCGGAAAGACCAACAUCGGAAUUACAAAAUUUCAAUCCCGGAUCUCUCUAUCAAACUUUUAUUUUUUAAUUGCACGAAAUAUUUUAUAUAUUUAUAUAAAAUAAUAUCUCGUAAGAUGAACUUUUAUCGAUGAAUAUUAUUUUCUUUUUUUCGUACAUUUUUAAUUUUGUAACGCGUAAUGGAAUUUUUGAUAUCAACGAAAAGAUGAUGUAAAUCUUUAGUAAACAGCAAUGUUGAUUUAAGGUUAAAUGACAAGUCCUUUUCUCCUGAUCUCAUAAGUCAACGAAAGGUAAGAUACGAUGGCAUAAUCACGUUGAGAAAGCAGUUAUUUGCAGCUUGUGACGUAAGAAAUAUCGGUUAUUUGCAACUAAGCUCUUUAAAUCGCUGAAAAUCGCAAAAUAGGGCAAGAUGCGAACGCGUAUCGCAUGACCGAUAAGAUUUCAAAAAAUUGCUCGUUAUUUACAGAAAAAUCAAAAGCUGUUACUUUAUCGUCAUGCGACACUCAGCGGUAUUUGAUAAAAAUUAUACUAUCGCUUAUAACCAGGGAAAAAAAGAAAGAGAAAGACGGCAAAAUAACCCUAUUUAUCUUGCAAAGAAGAUGCGUCUGUAUCAAUCGAAAUAAAAAA